UCUUGUGUACAUGCUUACAACAUAAAAUUUAUGCACUGCAUCCCAUUAGACCUCCGUAGUGAAGCGCGCUCGGGCUAGAGUAAUACUGGGAUGGUGAUUGCCCAAGAAUUCCUAGUAUUUUACAUGCA
rfam:Picea glauca, whole genome shotgun sequence.